GUUACGCUGGGCGGGAACCUUGGGCUCGGCUCGGCCCGGGCCUGGCCACACAGCGAGCCCUAGCGGCGAAGGCGAGCCCGCACCUUGCCAGGGAUCCCCGGCUGAACUCAGCUCUAGCCCGGCUGCUCCGCUUGACCCUGCUGGGGGCUCCUGUCGGUGCCGGAGAACUUGUCCGUGUCACUCCCCCCAUAGCCGCCCGUUCGUUGGGCGCUGAGAGGCACUGAGUUUGCUGCGAAUCUAGUCCAGAAGACUGACUUGGAAUUAUGUUAUUCCUCCUCACAACCUACACAGCAUAUAACUGGAUUAAUUUCUACUGGUGAUCCAUUCAGCAUCCCGCAGAAUUAGAACUACAGCAUGGGAGGCAGAGAACCCCAAUAUGCAUAUUUUCUCCUUACUGAGCACCCCUUGCUCUUGCAGCCACAAAGCUCUGGAUUUUGCACUAGAAAAACUUCUGCUACAGGAUGCCUCUUGCUAAGGAACAGAAAGAUCUAUGGAACCAAAGGUGAUGAUAGAAACUUCUGAAUUAGAAUGUUCACUUUAUACAAUAUGUGAUCCAUUACUCCUAAGGUAAUUCUGUGCAAUAUUUUAAAAUUCUGCCAAAAUAACAUACUAUUUUCAAUUAUUUUGGUAAUUUAUUUCGCAAUAGCUGUCAGCGAGUAUGUCUAACAAUACAGACACCAAACAAGAUCCGGGAAAUGUUUUUUUGACAAAUAGAUUCCUUACUAGGCAUAUCUAUGGCUCUACAGAGCAGAUGGCAUUACUAGUAUUUCCAUAUACGUCAGACACAGAAGACUUUAAGGGCAUGUCUACUCAGCAAAGAAAAACCCACAGCUGACCUGUGCCAGCUAACUGGGGGCUCAGGCUGUGGGGCUGUUUUGCUGUUGUGCAGACUUCCAGCCUCAGAUUGGAGCCAAUGCUCUGGGACCCUCCCACCCUGCACAAUCCUAGACUCUAGCCAUCACUGUAAAUCAGUGUGUGGGGCUUGGUAGGGUGGGUGUCAGGAUCCAGGGAGCGGGGCAGCUCCCCAGACAGUGCCCCCUCCGACCCCAGCUUUGGAGCAAGGAGCGGAGGAAGUGGUGGGUGAAAGGGGAGAACGUGCAGAGCUUCCUGAAGGCAGGGAAUGAGGAAGUCCUGUCCCAAUCCAAACUAGCAGCUGGAGCCACGCACAGGCUAGGAGCCACCAGCCAGGGCAUCCCCCGCUCUGCCUCUCCCCAGCACCAGGACAGCGGGCAAGAGGGACAGAGUCUCGCAAGCAUGCCAAGUCCUGCCCCCUGAGGCAGUGAUUUACAUCUCCCCUGGCAGCUCCUGACAUACCCACUUAGGACCACUGCCUGAAGGACACAUAAAUCAAUUAUUCUGCAGGGAAAGAAGUCUCCAGGGGACAGUAGUCUGCACUUGCACAGUGAUGCAGAAUUCCCCCAGGAUUAAUACAUAUUAUAUACACAGGAAACUUCACAUGUACAAACCAUGUUAAAGACAUUUUGAAAACUCACUUGAGCAACUUCAUUUGUGAGUUUAAUGCUUUCAGCUGCAGCAGGAACACUGAUUGUAGCCCUAACGAGAAUAUCUAGGUAGUUCAUCUUAGAAUAUUCCUGUUUCAAAAUAUAAUGAGGAUACAUUAGAAGAGGGAAAAAAAAAAAAAAAAAAAGACAGGAGUGUGUGCAAAUGCCUCAAGAAUAGCAAUAGAACAUACCUCUAGGAAAGUACUGUUCCACAAUCUUGAACGCAAUACAACCAUUGCCCUUCUGUCCAAGCCUUGCAAGGGACAUUUUAUAUUCACACAGCGUGCACUCUCAUUACAGUCCUGUAAUUUAAAUAAAUAAAAUAAAAUAUACAUAUAGACACACACUUCAAAAGUCACAUUUUACAGAAAAAUAUUUGAAAAGUUACAAGACAGGUUAAAAUAGUUGUAGCAAAGAAACAGGAGGAUGUAUGUCUUAAGUAGACUUAAAGGUGUGGUCCCUUUAGAAGGCCCAAUCCUUGGCUUGCUGAAAUCAAUGGCAAAACUGUUAUUAAUUUCAACGGUAAGAUUGGUUGACAGUAUCCAUCCUAGUAUCUGUUAAAAUGCAGGAAUCAGUCUGUGAAUGAUUUCUUUACUUUUAUUAUUACUAUUACUUUAUUAGUUAUCCUGCUCCCUUUUAAAGUCCAUUUCUGAAAGCUAAAUGCUUACUUAGAUACAUUGCCAAUUAAAUCUAGAGAGAUGUAAAAGAACAAUUGAGUACAGCUAUCUGGAAAUUAUUCCAAUAUACAUACCAGAUUUAGGAGAGAAUAAUAAUAAAAACAAGUUAUAAAAGUCAGAGUAUCUAUACAACAAAAUGCCUUCCUUCACUUGGCUAAACCUAAAAAGGUUCAAUAGGAGUAAAGGGAAGAUAAAGAGAUGGAAGAGAAAUUGUUGUUUUGCUAUGGAAAUGCUUACCAGGGUCUUAUAUUUUCUUUCUGAAAAUAAAGACAUUUUUUUGCCAUCAUUAGUCUGCUUCUCCGCAACUUCACGUUUCCUUCUUGACCUAUGGGACUCCUUUAAAACAAAGAAUUAUAUGUUGAUAAACUAUAUGAAAUUGAUUAUUAGGCAGAAUAGAUAUGUGCAAAAGAUUCUUUGAAUAUUGGGCAUUUAAAUAUUCAGUUUCUUGGAGGUGUUAAAAAGCAAUUCAAGUACUAAAGAGUAGAGAUAUUGGCCAAAAGUCGGGCAUGUUUAGUGUCAGUUGCAGUUCCCAUAGCAUAAUCCCGUUUUCAAUUAUUUAUAUACUGUAAACAUAGCUCAAGUAAAAACAAGUUUUCCUUUUUAGACUUGAACAGAGCUUCAGUUUCAAGAAGCAGCCCUAGGAAUAAAUACAAACAAAUCUGAAGCUGUUUCGCCCCAAUGUAAAACAUUCAUUCCUCCAUCAAUUGGUUGCAUCACAAACGUAUUUCCUAAACCUGACCCUCCAAGUAAAAAUAUGGAGCUGAAAGAAGAACAUGGUGACUGUAGGGCUAGUGCAGGUGUGUCACAAGGCAAAUGUAUGCAUCUGCCGCAUGACCACUAGGAUUCCAUAUCUGAGCACUGCUGCCACAGGCAUAUUUCUAUUGCAUUCCUGCUAGCACUGAAUGCUAUCACAGCAAUUACUAGGAUUUAAGCAGUAACUUAAAAAAAAAGUGAUCUAAACAAAAAGAGCAGUGAGGCAAAGUGUUUCACUUGCACUCAGCUUCAAAGCCAUUUCAUUUUUUAAUCAACGAGUGAGUGCUAUUCCUACUACACAUUAGAAUAGUUUUUCUUCCUUAAGUUGGUCCAAUGAAAGAUAUUACCUCACCCACCUUGUCUCUCUAAUAUCCACGGUCCAACACACAAGAAAAACACUGCAUAUAUUCCAAAGUAGGCAGAUAUGCUCCUGUUAAAUUUGUUCACUGAGUUUGUACAAUAAAAAUAUUGCACAUUCCCAGAGUUACUAAUUAGGUUUCAAUGGGAAACUUACAAGUUUUUACAAAACACUUGGAGAGUUCACGUUGUUUAGUAGAAGUAUAUGAAUUUAAUAUUUUUUUGGCAAGUCAGGUCAUGCAUUUAAAAAGGAAAGACAUGCACAAUCUGUCCCUUGGACAAAUUCUGCUCUCAGUUAUACCCAUUACACAUGUAAUCAGUUUGAAAUAAGUGGGAUUGCAAGGAUAUCAAUGAGGACAGAAUUUGACGCACACACUUUAGAAGUACAUUACAUGUACAAAACAAAGCAUGCAUUAUGCAUCCAAUUAUACUCGGAUGGUGAAGAGAUUAUUUACAUACCUAGCUUUAAUAGUCCUUUUAGUUGUGGUUUAUAUCCACUUUAAAAAAAAAAAAAAAAAAAAAAGAAGAAGGACUUAAUCCUGCAAUUUCCUCCACGUGGAACUCUCACAGAAUUCAAUGCAAGCAAUGUGUGCAAAGGGCUCACAGGAUUUGGACUGAUGUUUAUUAUUGCCUACCCUUUGUUCUGGGUAAAUAAUGCCAAAUUUCAGUAAAAAUUAUUUUAGCAUGUUAGCAUAAAAGCAGACAGACACUUAGUUUGUCCUUGUUUACCCAUUCUGUUGAAAGCUCUUUUAAAGCAAACAUUGGGUUAAGUGAAGUCUAUUAAUAAAUGAGACAAAGAAAAAGCAUUUUCUAGUUAAAGAAAUCCCAUAAACCUGUGAUUUUUUUUGGUCUGAAAAUUACUGUAACAGACAGAAUAAAGGAGAGGGGGGAAAUCUCUUUUCCAUUUUGUACAUUUAUAAAACUAAGAAUGUGAGUAGUUCCACAGAUAUCAAACCAUCCAUUCCCCACUCUUCCUUGCCUAUUUUCUCCUCUGUACGCUUUGAAAUUAAAAGAAUCUCAGACCCUUCUCUACUUCUGCUGAACACUGCAUCUGAGCUGAGAGGGUACGUGGCUGUUGCUCUUUAAAGCACUGAUCCUGGCUCUCCUCACUGGCUUCUCCUACAGCCUGGCAACAAUACUUGGAGUUUAAGGAGCAGUUGGGCAGUUCUUCAGUUGAAGCUUGCUAUUGGAGAGGGUGAAAAGAUGGUAGAGAGUAGAGAAGGGCAGGCUGAGAACAGAGUCUAGCAGUUUCAAAAACUUCCCUUCCUUCAGGAUCCCAGCUCUUUCAGGCAACACUUUGUGGCCCUCUUAGAAAAUCUAACUUCGGUACCAACCCUAAAUCUCUGAAGGCAAGAAGAAUUUUGUCAGAGGGGCUGCAGGCUUGGCACUUUAAUUUUCAGCAGAAGGCGACACACAUUAAACUGGCUGCUGGCAAAAGGUCAAUUAAGUUCAUGAGGAACAGGAAAAAGAAGAGGUUCAAGCAAUCUAAGCUGGCUUUAAAGAGGUAUAAAUAAAUAGUUGCCCUGUUUUCCUUAUCUCUUCACCAUGAACUGUUUUUCCCAUCAUGGAAGGGGUCACUGCUUUAUUAAAAUAAAAGUUAGGUUUUAAAAUGGCUUUGCUUUUAAAUGUAAAAUGAAGGAGCCAUAGUCUAAUAGCUAUGGUAGGAUGUAUAUUAGCAUAGGAGAUUGAUGCACUUCAAGUCAUUGAAGAUACAAAGCUCAUUCCAAGGCAGGCACCAGUAUCCUACUAACAGACACCCAGUUGUGCUUUAAUGUUAUGUGAACUUGCUUAUAAAUAGGUGAAAGUACAUUAACAUACCUCAAGUCCCAAAGAGUUUAUUUCAUUUUGAGGUUCACAGAGGAUUUUCCCCAAUUCUUUAGAGUCUACUUUCAUCAAAUAAAGUAGCCAUUUGCCAUUGCUGAUUUCUUUUGGCCACUGGAUGUCCAAGGAAGCUGUGCCAAAUGUUUUAAGUGGUCUACCCAAGUUAGUUAUCUGUUAGGAAUACAAAAUCCACAAAUUCUCUUAUAAACUAGAAUUUACAGCUACAGAUCUUCAGUAAGUGUCAGUGCAGAAGGGUUUUUCUGGUAUUAAGAAAAAAAAUCACAGGAAAACACAAAUUCCGAAGAUACCAUACAUUUAUUUCCAAUCAAAAGUUGUUUGGCAAAUCCCAAAAGGUAGCAAACCUUCCUAAUUAUAGACAUUAUCACAGCAUAACUUUCUGGAUGAUCUAGUAUACAAUACUGUACAACAAAAAUCAGGAGAAACUAGAUUUGCUAAAGUUUUAUUUAAAAGUUCUAUUGAUAAAAAUAAAACUAGAGUAGUUGCAAGACAGUCUAUGAGAUCUGAACAGAAUACAAACGUGAAAAAGUAAGCAAAAAAUAUAUAUAAAGACUGUGGCUGGCCUGGCUGAUAGCAGCCAUAUUUAGUGUUAAAAUGUUUUCCAGUGCAGGAACAAUUGGAAUGUCUGCUCCCUGGGCCAGUAGUGUCUGAAAACAUAAGUGGGAUCUAUUCUCCUGUAGGACAGCAACAGGAGCCAGAAUGUUCUAGCGGUAGCAAAAAUGUGCUUGGUUAUAGACAAGCAGGAGGAUUACAACUAUAAGGGAACAUCUGGUGCCACAGAAUUACACUUCUGUCCGUCUUGCUCCAGCAGUAUGGUAGUUGUUUUUUUGAGUCAGAGAGCAAUGCUGCAAUAUCUAGAGCUUUGCCAUCACUGAGCCACAGAAACUACAAACUACACCAAGUAGUCUAAAUUAUUGCAUUACUGCAUCAGCUAUAUUUAAAGAGAGCUGCAGAAGGAAGUCUUCAGGAGCCCAAGGCAGGGACACGAAUGAUAAAACGAAUCUAGGUGCUUCUGAACUUGAGACAUGCUCCUUUCCCUUCCCCCGAAGCCCCUCUCUCCAACCCUCUGACAGAGAUCAUGAAUGCACAAAUUAACAACCUUGUGUGUCCACUGGGGGCAUGAGGAGAGGAGGCCAGGAUUCCAGCUUCAAAACACUCCGGCCAGUCAGGAUGUGUUUUGGAAGGUGGGGAACAAGGGGGUGGUUCUGGUGCAAGAGCAGCCAGUCUUGAGAAAAAGGAAUGGGCUACACUGAGCAAGUAUGGAGCACAAACGUGAGGAUGGAGGGAAAUACAUGGAGCAAAAAUUUACAUUCCCAACACUGGAGCAUUCAGGAACCUGCAGACCAUUUGAGAUCUGUGGAUUUGAGAUCCUUGUCUUAGUCAUUAAAAGGCAGAAGGCCAAGAGAGUGAGUUUACAGGGCCAUUAUUUUCAAAAAGGGCUGCAACACAGCUUGUUUGUGGAUGCUAUGUUUUACAUACACAAAUAUCUGCACACACUUUCUGAGCACUAACACUGGGCAUAUCAUUGAUGGGUUUUGUGUAUGUAAGUUUUGUUACCUGUAGGCAUGGAUGUUUAUGCUGGAAAAUUGUAGGUGCAGGGGACUGCAUGCAAACAAAUGGAAGAUGCUUUUUGGAAGUAUGAACCUGAACUUUCAAGGCUGGAGGAAGCCCCAGUCUUGAUGGGCCAGUCAGGUUGUGUGUUGUGGAAGUGGUGGUUAAUGGUGAUGAUUCGGGUGUUGGGCAGCCAUCUUCGAAUCAGCCAGAUUUUAAAAUAUUAACAUAAGUGUCAGGAAAAAAAAAUCAAUCAUGAUUUUUUAAUAAUCUAGAUCAACUCACUCUGAAUUCAUAUUCUAUUACGUUUCCAACAUCAUCUUCAGAUUUCAUAGCACUCUCACCAAUUACGUUACCUCCAAAGUACACCUGGGAAGGCUUAGCAACUCUGUUCAAUUUUUAAAAAAACAGAUCAUAUUUUAGUACGGGUUGCAGCAAAGGGUUCAUUCUCUCAUUGAUUUGUUAUGCUAACUAUAAACACUUACCCAGUGAGUGACAAAAGCAAUUCAAUAACCACUUUAGCAGUAGCAGUAAUUGGAGCCAAAUUAACUUGAUUGCUUGUUCUAUAAUGAAAAGGAAAUGGCAGUGUUUAUUUUAAAUUUUAAGUUUUCACAUUACAAUAAAAUUGUCUUUACAAAACAAAUUGAAGCCAUUCCUUAAUGUUUACGAGUAUAUGGGAAAACACCAAGACAAAAGGUAAAAACAAAAAACUCUUACGUUUCCAACUUCAGAUUAAUAUCCAAAUCAGUUGUGUCAACAUUAACUUUAGUUGUACUUAAAAUCAGAUAAAAGGUAACCUAAACAAGAAAAAAAUCCACACAGUAUGAUGUUAGGGGAAUAUAUUUUUGUAAGCACAAACUUUGUUUUAUAUGAAAAAAAUACAUCAGAAUUCUGAAAUUUUGAGAACAGGGAUAGGCCCCAAAUCAAACCCCAAGACAUAAACACCAUUGAAUUUAGGGAAACUUCAGGACUAGGUCCAGAAUCUAACUUUAUAUAUUAGGCCAAUCUUUAAUUAAAAAGAGAAAAAAACAAGCCACUCACAUUGGAAUUUCUCUUGAAAGGAUUUCCAAGUUCACACUCUGCUUGAGAACCGUUUUGAUUGGCACCACAAGUUAAUUGUUUUUCCUGAAUUAAAGAUGUGCAGAAGUCAAAACACAGUAAGUAUUUAAAUAUAUGUAAUAUACCUUUGUCCUGGUUUUCUGAAAUACUUACAGGAUAAGCCCUCAGCUCUCUGAAAGCAGAAUAGGUCAAGCUAUCUGGAAAAGUUGCAACUAGUUUAGCUUCAUGGGCAUCUUCACCAUCUUUUUGGAGAUUUUUUGCAUCUGAUGGACUAUUUGUCACAGUUAUUUCUAGAGCAAUAUCCCUCUGAUCUUUGAGGACAAGCACCGGAACAUUGUUCUCACUAUGGAAACAAAAUAUAACAAGUUUCACACAUUAGAGAAAAAAAAAUUCCCUUCCAAACAUCCACCCAAGUGCAGUUAUUUUUGCUAAUGUAUAAAUUAAGUCUUACAUUGGUAAAUAAGCAAAUCUGUCUUCAUUUCCUUCUCUGGUACAGAAUCUGUAUUGAAGUUUUAGGCUGCUAUUACAUAUGUUGUCUUCUCCACAUCCUUCUUUUAAGAACUGCACCUAUACAAAAGCCAAAAGUCAGUUUAUUUUAGGACAAACAAUACUAAAAUCUAUGUUCAAAAAACAAAAAAUAUAGUUGCUGACAUAUGCUACAGUUAGUUCAGAUCCAUAGACACUUCAUAUACCCUUCUUUACGCAGACAAGGCCCUAGUCUGACUUCACCUUUUCAGCUGUAAGGCGAUGGGGACACUAUUGCUUUGUUGGAAACGUAUGUUGUUGCUGCUAAGUGAAAGCAUCAUGUCAUGUGGAAAUACAAAACCUGGCCCAGUUUGGGGCCCAAUGUUUCGAAGUGAUAUGUGCCUCUUCUGCUCAUUACUUUAAUGGGAGUUGAGCAAACACAGGUAUGUCUCCUCAAGCUGGGGACUACAGCCCUGGCUUGAAGUGUAGACAUAUCCCAAGUUCCAGAGACAAUCGUUCCAGGGCACCCUAACCCUGCAAACAAUUGCAUAGUGCUCGUGUGAUGUAGGACACACAUUCACAAGGAUGACAACUCAAUUAAUUUUCACUUGUGACCAAAGCUAAAUACCAACCUGAGUCUUCUGGGGUGCAAAGUUAGUUAGCGUGUUAACCAGCUGUCCCAUCUUCACUUCUGUUUUAGGAGGAUGCAGGAGCACAUUUUAAAUUUCUGCUACCACAAGUGAUGAAAGCCCAUAUAAUACCAUGGCUGAGAUUAUAAAUUAAUUGUAUAUUGUGUGCCUCCUCACUUGCUUCUCUUUGGUCAUAGCUUAGUUCUUUACAGCCUUUAAUUCAGUGACUUUUGAUACAAGUGCACGUGCCAUGCAUGCGCGCGCGCGCACACACACACGCUCCUGAAUUGGGUUGAAUAUUGAAGACCAUACUGGAACUAAUUACUUAUGCAAAUAACCCAACCUCCACUCUUUUGUCAUACAAACUUUGUGUUUUGGUGACUUAAUCCACUUUUGCAUCAUUUUCCAAAGAUCUAUUCAAGAGACUUACUUCUGAGUUCACUGUUUCUGGUUCAUUUGAAUUUAGAAUUGGAACAAGAUCUGGAAGUGAUCUUCCUUGUCUCCUCUUUGAUGGCGAACUAGAUUCUGACCCACUGAUUUUAACGCCAACCGAUACAGGAAUGGGACGUAGUUUAUCUUUGAUAUUUUCCUGUUAAACAUUAGAAAUAGUAUAAUUAGUAUACAGUGUAAAAAAAUCCCACUAGAUUUGGUAACUAAAACAAUAUAUAUUCUAUUUUGUUUAGAGUGCAAGCAAGAUUCUUUCACUAUGUUUCUCAAGGGAAAAAAUUGAAUGUAUUCAUUAUAUGCAUUGACUUAAAGAACAUUAACAUAACAGACAUGCUGGUAAGGGCCGCUGAACCCCAGGGCUCACUGUUUACUAAUGAUCUCUCUCACAGGUAAUGAUCACUAGGAAUAACAUCUGGGAACACAAAGUUAAGCAUCAUAUAACCAUCCACUAGAAGAGGAAACGGUGGACAUUCUUCCCCCCUUCCUAUAAAGCAGUGGUUUUUAACCUUUUUUCAUUUGCAGACCCCUAAAAUAUUUCAAAUGGAGGUGCAGACCCCUUUGGAAAUCUUAGGCAUAGUAUAUGGACUCCCAGGAAUCCACGGACCACAGGUUGAAAACCACCGUUCUAUGGUUACGGCAACCUUUCGCAGACCCCUUAGACAUAGUCUACAGUUCACCAGGGGUCCACAGACCACAGGUUGAAAACCACGACUGUAAAGGAUUCAUUCAAUUGUGGAAGGAAAAGUGAAGCAAAAAUCAGCUUGCAACAGUGACAUCUCCAAGGCUGUUGCUUGGUAGCAGACUAGGCAUGGAGUUCAAAGAUCAUUUUCCUGCCCCUCCCAUUCGGCCCCAUGGUAGAGUCCUCCAGGAAAAUAAAUUUAUGACUGACAAGGUCCUCCAUAACAAUCCUUUUUCUAUGCACUAAGAACCGCAUUAAAUGCCCAAGGCUGUUUAGUUUUGGGGGAAUUCUGUGCUACUGCAUACAUAAAGAAUUCAGGUCUCCACAGAUUUUAUUUUUAUUUUUUUUUCCUUCGCAGAAUAUAGAUCAGGGGUAGGCAACCAAUGGCAUGCAUGCCAAAGGUGGC